rnacentral:tRNA from 1 species
GGCCCGUUGGUCUAGGGGUAUGAUUCUCGCUUUGGGUGCGAGAGGUCCCGGGUUCAAAUCCCGUACGGGCCC